GGGACAUGCUAGGCCCACCUGGAAACUGCGGCUGGCCUCAUUAAGCUUGAGUGAGGGUUCAGAUGCGAGUGUCUUCCAGGUCUUUGUUGUAGUUUAUGAACCAGUCAGUUCUAACCGAACUCAGCUUGAAUGCUGUUGAGAUAGUAGCACAAAUGUAUGUUUUCUUCUAGUAGAUUUUGUAAAUGUGGGUAUAUACAAUAAUUCAUAAGGCACCUGAAAUCUUUUAUGGGACAAAAUUGGUAUAAAUAGUUGUUUUGUCGUUGAAAGUUCUUUGUCCUAUAAUUGUGAAUUUUGAAGCUGUUCCGUAGAAGACUGCUCUUCGUUCCCAGGUCACUGUAGAUCCGUCUGGUGUACCGCCACCUCAGAGAGAUGGUUAACUAAGCUGACCGUUAGCUGACAUCUCGGAACCCGCCAGGCUCUUCCGCUUAGCAUCCUGCGGGGGCGGCUUCCUGUGGGCAGCGGUGCAGACGCAUCGGAUCAGCUGGGCUGUGCCCAGGACCUCGCCGGCUCAGCGUUACACCUGCUGCCUCUCAGCUUGGACGUGCGCACUAUCCUGUAGUGUCAUCAUGAGUGGCAAGAUGGUUACGUACUAGUUCACUGGGAAACGCAGACUAGGGUAUCCUUUGAGAAAGUUCUGGGUUUGAGUGGCUUUGAGAGGAAAAUCUCCAGCAGGGGAUGAAAGCACCUAAUUGAAGAACGGAGUCCGUGGUCCAUGCAGCGCCUGGGGCACCUUGAGGCAUCAGGAGAAGCGCUCUGCGCAGACUCCUCGCAGGUGCCCCCGUGUCCCUCUGUGGCUCUCUGCAUUGCACUGUCCUCAGCCUCAGAGUGCCUGCAGGAUGUCCAUGAAGCUGAGCCCUGACCCAGGUGGAGUCAGGAGGCACCCCCAGCUGCACUGGCCGCCUCCACCAGGGGCUCUCUUACUGCACAGCAUGUCCAUAACUCUGUGAUUGGUGUCACAGGCCAGCUGAGAGCUGGUGCUGUCACCUGUUAACAGCCUCUGUGAAGUCUGGGGAGCAGGCAGGCCUGGUGGCCAAUGGCAAGUGUGGUCCCCGGUGAAAUGAUGGUGUCCUGUCAGCCGAAUGCUGAGCCCACACUCCAACUUGAGAACUGCCCCCGAGGCCCCUGCUGCCCAGCUCCCCUCAGGCUGCUUCCUGAAAGGGGAGAGUGUGCAGCGGAAGAACGCUGUUCCUGUCGUGCAUGCUUAGGAGGCCCACAAAGAGAAGGGCAUCGCAGACAGAAGACCAAAUCGGAAUCCCAGGAGGCGGCAGGGUCUGCUUCCGCUCCUCCCUUAUCACUGCACAUUGGUGACCGGGGCUUGCAGGGGACAGUGCAGUGACCAGCCCAGCAGCCGGUGGCCGAGCAGGCACCAGGUGACGUGAUGACUCGUUGCUGACAUGCCGUUUUCUCUUGCACAGGUUAUGUUUUAUAUCAGCGUGAGCAUCUUAUUCUUGAAGACUUUGGAACCGAUGAAACAAUCAUAGGUGUUGCCCUGGGAGUUCUGCGCAUCUGUUUCCAGGUUGCUCGCAUCGUCGGUACACGGCUUUGCUGUGUCCCUCGUCCGUGAGCCAGCCUGCUAGUUCCUCCUCUGAUCUCAGCCUGGUGACGCUUGCCGGUUCUUGGCCAUAAGUGACUUCCUGAUAGAAAAGGACCCUCAGGCUUCAGUAUCCAGCGGAGUUGGCAGCUCUGUCAGAAACGGAACUGAGGUCACUUUGAGACUACCUGCAUUCUCUUCCUGGAAGGACACCCGGCAAUAGGUGUGAAACAAAACAAGAAGCAGCCUGCAGGACAGGAAGUCGCUGCACCAGAAUGGUUUUCGCCUGCAGGAUGUGCUCUUCCUCUCACAUGUCAGUUUUGGGAAAUGGAUUGAUUCAUUUUAUAACUUUGGAAGAUACUUAUUCUUUGUUACAAGAAACAACUACUUUAUUAUAGGAACAAAAUAAUAGUAUUUCAUAACAGUUCAUUUGUCAUGUACCCUUGGAGUUUCUCUCGAUAACCAGCAUAGCUGUGUUUCUCACAGAAUUCACGUUUGUCAUUAAGAGGCUGGAACUCGGUCUACACACCAUCUGAAUUGUGA
ensembl:lncRNA